CCCUCAUGUUCGCCUCGGAGAAUUCUCCUUCGGCGUCGAAGGAUCCUCCCGACUCCACGAACAGCGCUAGCGCGUAGCUGCUCAUUCCCUAAGCGCUACUCUUGAUAGAGGUAGUUUGUGAAGAUGUAAACUUGGAAAGCACUAAUGGCUAUGGCUUAGAGAGGGGUUAGGGGGUGUUUAAAUAGGAAGAAGGCCCUCCCUGGCGAGAUCAUGAGCGGCAAAUUUGAAUUUGCAUACAGAUAAGGAUAGGGAUGGCGAAGAGAUAGACGAUGGAAA
rnacentral:lncRNA from 1 species